AUUGAACGCUGGCGGCAUGCCUUACACAUGCAAGUCGAACGGCAGCACGGACUUCGGUCUGGUGGCGAGUGGCGAACGGGUGAGUAAUAUAUCGGAACAUACCUUGUAGUGGGGGAUAACUAUCCGAAAGGAUAGCUAAUACCGCAUACGAUCUAAGGAUGAAAGCGGGGGAUCUUCGGACCUCGUGCUAUAAGAGUGGCCGAUAUCUGAUUAGCUAGUUGGUGAGGUAAAGGCUCACCAAGGCGACGAUCAGUAGCUGGUCUGAGAGGACGACCAGCCACACUGGAACUGAGACACGGUCCAGACUCCUACGGGAGGCAGCAGUGGGGAAUUUUGGACAAUGGGGGCAACCCUGAUCCAGCGAUGCCGCGUGAGUGAAGAAGGCCUUCGGGUUGUAAAGCUCUUUUGUCAGGGAAGAAACGGUUGUGGCUAAUAUCCAUGGCUAAUGACGGUACCUGAAGAAUAAGCACCGGCUAACUACGUGCCAGCAGCCGCCGUAACAC
rnacentral:rRNA from 1 species